rnacentral:lncRNA from 1 species
GGACUAAAAUGGGUCCAAAUGGGACUAAAAUGAGCUUCAAAACACUCGUCUGGAUGGAGAAAUGGACCAAAAUCAGCUGAAAUCAACCCAAAAUCGACCCAAAAUCAACAGAAAUGGGAACAAAUGGGUCCAAAAUGGCCCUAAAAGGACCCAAAAUGGGACCAAAAUGGACCCAAAUGGGACCAAAAUGGGUCCAAAAGGGACCAAAAUGAGCUUCAAAACACUCGUCUGCAACCAGAAAUGGACCAAAAUCACCACAAAUCAACCCAAAAUCAACACAAAUGGGAACAAAAUGGCCCCAAAUGGGACCAAAAUGGCCCUAAAAGGACCCAAAAUGGGUCCAAAAUGGCCCCAAAUGGGACCAAAAUGGGUCCAAAUGGGACUAAAAUGGGUCCAAAAUGGUCCUAAAAGGAUCCAAAAUGGCCCCAAAUUGGACUAAAAUGGGUCCAAAAUGGCCCCAAAUGAGCCCAAAAUGGCCCUAAAAGGUCCCCAAAUGGGUCCAAAAGGGACUAAAAUGGGUCCAAAUGGGACUAAAAUGAGCUUCAAAACACUCGUCUGCAACCACAAAUGGACCAAAAUCACCAGAAAUCAACCCAAAAUCAACCCAAAAUCAACAGAAAUCAACAGNUGGGGGGCAAUUGGCUCCAACAGCUGCUGACUAUGGGGUUUUAUAUAGGGGAAAAGCCUAUUUCAGCCUGUUUUGGGGACAUUUGGGGUCCAUUCCAUCCCAUUUUUGGUCCAUUUCAUCCCAUUUUUGACCCAUUUCAUCCCAUUUUUGGUCCAUUUCAGCCCAUUUUUGGCCCAUUUCAGCCCAUUUUGGGUCUAUUUUGGGUCCAUUUCAGCCCAUUUUGGGUCCAUUUCAGCCCAUUUCAUCCCAUUUUUGGGUCCAUUUCAACCCAUUUUUGGCAAUUUCAAUCCCUUUUGGGACCAUUUUUGACCCAUUCCAUCCCAUUUUUGACCCAUUCCAUCCCAUUUUUGACCCAUUCCAUCCCAUUUUUGGCCCAUUUCAGCCCAUUUUUGAUCCAUUUCAGCCCAUUUUGGGUCCAUUUCAGUCCCUUUUAGGGCCAUUUUUGGUCAGUUUCAGCCCAUUUUGGGUCAAUUUCAGCCCAUUUUGGGUCUAUUUUGGGUCCAUUUCA